UGAUUUGCGACGACCCCGGUUCGACCGUUUAUUUUACUCUUGCUUCUGGUGCCACGAUGAAUCGCGUAUAAAAAUUGCGGACUCCGUUGUUUAUCUAACCGAAAGAAUAAACGUUUCGAAACUGCCUCGUUUUAUCCGCGAAGGAUUAGCUUCGUAAGCGUUCGCAUAGUUAAAAUUGACUUGGAAAAAAAUGAAAACGAUAUCGAUCAUUUUUCAUGCGUUUCAUCUCCAUCUUGUUGUUGGUAUUAAUUCUCCGUGUGGAUACGUAUAUACGAUACGAUUGACCGAGGUAUAAUUAAGAAUUUUCUCUUGAAUUUCUUAUUUCUGAAGAAGCGUCAUUUUUUCAAGGAAAAAUCGGCCAAGAAUAGAGUUUUGAAACAUAAUUUUUUUACACAAAUCUAAUCUGCUGGCUGUUUCUAUAAAAUCGUUUCAAGUAUCAUUCGUUAAACGACUAAUAAAACGUUAAAAUCAAAGAUAAUUUCGAACGAUUAACGAUAACGAAAGUAUAAGUUUCAUAUGUACGUACAUACGUGAAAAUAGUCCUUCUUUUUUCAAUUCUUUAUGAAGCGUUCGAUUUAUUUAUUGUUACAUUUAUACCACGCUAUAUUUGCAAAUUGUAACUCGGUUCAAGCAAAUUUAUUCAACGAUGAAUCAAAGUUCUUUGUGCGCUACUAUACUGCGUAUUUCAUUGUAGUUCGCCACAUAAAGCAGCUGAGAAUGAGUAACCUCUCUGGCGUGAUCUAUGUGCAGUUAACGCAGCCUCUUCUGAAAAUACGAUCGCUUCUAAACAACGCAUAUGUUUAUGCACGUAGAAUGUCAAUACCUGUCGCGUGUGACGUGUAAAGUAACUAAUGUUCCUUGAUCUAUCGCUUCCGGUACGUUGAACAAACUUCUCGAAUUCGAAGCCGUUCUACAUAUUAUUAUUCUAUGGCGUAACGCUGCGAUCCUUCACUAUGAUUCCAUCGGUUAUUAUACAGUAGCUCGCGAAAGCAUUUCAAUGCUUGUAGAAAUUUUGUAUAUUGUCUGUGUUAUAUGAAACAUUUCGAGAUUCCGUUAGCAUUAUCACGAGAUACCAAUUGUUAUAUUGAUAAAGUUUGAAAUAAAUCUGAAAAUAUAUAUAGUAGUUACAAAAUAUUUAAUGCAAAUAUAUAUUUCACAGAGGUCGUAGAAGCAUUAAGCAAUUAUUCGUUACAUUCCUAAGUCUUAAUAUUCAGUGAAAAAAAUCAUCUUUAACAUUUAUUAUAUGCUUAAAAUUGAUUUCAGAUUUAACCAGUAUAUUCAGGAUAAUUACGCUUCACUGCGAUAAAAACGAAAUGCAAUUUCUAAAUGUUUUAUAUAAUACACAUAACAUAUAUACGGAGGUUUUCUAUGGUAAAAAAAAAGUCUUAUAGCUGCUAUAUGACUCAAAACGACCAUGAACGAGUUUUGGAAACAUGACACGAUCUUCUUUCUUCUUAGAAGAUCAAAAAGAACUAAUAAAUUCUUCCGCGUCUUAGAACGAAAAACGAAUCCCGAAGGCCGAUGCACGUGCAGAAGCGCCGCAAGAAAAGUGUUCCGCUUACAUAAAUCUCAUCAGCUUGAAAGCCGCGGGUGCUGGAUUACUUCUAUCGUGACAGGCUACCGGCAGUCUCUCCAACGGAGU